rnacentral:tRNA from 1 species
GCCCCCAUAGCCCAACAGGUCAGAGGCAUGCGACUUAAACUCGCACAAGUGAGGGUUCGAAUCCCUCUGGGGGUA